AACAAUUGAUAUCAUAAAUUGAAUCAGCCAUACAAAUUUUUUUAUCGAUGCAAUUUUUUAUGAAAUAGUGUCAAUUAACCAACCAGUAGCUAAGCCAGUUUCGUAACAUGUUUUUUCCAACUGUUUAGGCACUGUGCUUUAUUUUGGGAAGUUAAUGGCCUACUAAUUCGAGUUAUUAAGUUUAAAAAACUCAUUUGUAGCUUUAAAAAGCUCUUCUGUUAAUGAGAACUUGUUGAAGAGUGAACAAGUCUAGCACAUAUGUUGACACGAUGCUGCUCUAUACGAUUUUUGAGAGGUUCGAUGAGCGGGAGAGCACAACUUGGGGUUCUCUCAGAUCUAUGUAUAGGAAUAGUUAAACGUAUAAGACAGAGAAAGCCUCAGCACUUGGCGGGCCCGCCCGAUCGGUCCAAUCAGUCGCCGGUUCGUCGUUCAGUGCGUCGCGUCGUUUUGGGCUUUGGUUACGACACAGGGAACACGCGCUGCAUUCUUUAGCACUCGCUGAACGAUCCACAGAAUAUGGAAUACUGGCUGAAGGUCUCGCUGCUGCUCUGCACUUUCGGCUUCCUUCGCGAGAUGCGGCCAUCGGAGCCGUAUGUGACCGAAUAUCUGGCCGGAGACUAUGGUAAUCUGACCUCCGAGCAGGUAUACCAGAAUGUCUAUCCCUUUGGCACGUACUCGGUGCUAGCCCAAUUGGUGAUUGUGUUCCUCAUCACGGAUCUGGUGCGGUACAGGCCGGUGAUCGUUCUGUCUGCCGUUGCUGGGAUUGUGCUGUUCGCCCUGCAGAUAUGGUGCGAUACCCUGAGAAUGCUACAGGUUGCCCAGCUCUUCUAUGGCUUCUUCACGGCCGCCGAGGUGGCCUACUACACGUACAUCUAUGCCAAAGUGGACAAGGAGCGCUAUCAGAUCGUCACCGGACACACGCGUGCGGCUAUCUUGAGCGGAAAGUUUCUGGGCGGACUGGUGGCCCAGAUUCUGGUGUCCACCGACAGCAUGGACUAUGGGGAGCUGUACUACAUAUCGCUGACCACACAGAUCAUAUCGUUGGGUGUGUCCCUGGUUCUUCCCAGCGUGCCACGCAGUCUGUAUUUCUAUGCGAAUGAUGCCAGUCCGAGUCCGACGCCUGGCGGCGAGGAGAAGGUCCCACAAUUCUCACUCAAAAAGGCAUGUCGCCUGCUGUGGUACCACCUGGUGUCUUCAUAUUCGAACCGCAUUGUCCUGCAAUGGAGUGUGUGGUGGGCCCUGGCCACCUGUGGUCAGAUUCAGGUGAUAUCGUAUAUUCAGUUCCUGUGGAAGGAGGUGGCGCCCGAACAUCAGAGCGUCUACAAUGGCGGUGUGGAGGCAUUGGCCACUCUCCUGGGCGCCGUAGGAGCCAUUGUGGCGGGUAUGCUCAACUCAAACAAGCGACGCAGCUCCUAUAUGCUGUGCAACUCCAUUUGCGCUGCUGUUCUGGGCGGUCUCUUGCUAUAUGCCUCACAAACCACUGUACUCUGGGUGGCAUACGUCAAUUAUGUGCUCUUCUGUGCCAUAUUCUUCUUCAUCAUCACUGUGGCAGGAGCCAUUGUGGCCGAGAAUCUGGUGGAGGACAGCUUUGGCCUCGUCUUCGGCAUCAACACUUUGGUGGGACUCAUGUUGCAGACGAUCCUCACCAUUGUCGUGGUGGAACCGGAUCCGGGCUUUGGCUUGGGGCUGCGAGAUCAGUAUCUAGUCAACGGAGGCUAUUUCCUCUGCUUGGGGGGAAUCUUUGGACUCUGGAUUCUCAUUGCAAAGCUAUGUGCCAAGUCCAGGAACUCGAAGCAAUUGCGAAUAACCACGUAGCGGAGACCAUGAGACACAUCUUAUUGCAACAGCAGAUCAUUUUUGUUGCUAAUGGUUUGCGGAUUGACCAGCAGGUCUAAGAAGCGUUUGGCCACAAACUACAUAUAUUGGAAGGAUUUGCCUUGAUGUCGUUAUCGUCCAGCUCAACGCGAAGGAGCGAGGCCUCUCAUCGUCCAUCUCUUUGAUCUUCAAGUUGUAUGAAAGCGUCCGUAGUAGGCCUGCGUGGCCUACGUGACCCCGCGUGACCAGCACACACCCCCGAACACUGACCAACAGACAUCGGGAGUAGUAGAAGCAAGUCUGUUUAUUAGCAAUCUUGAUGCAAUCAGGGAUCUAGCUACUUUUGAAAUAAUUAAAUGUGUACAGGAGAUACUUUUAGCGCACUCACUUGACCACUCCUUUCUCAUUGGACUUCUGUUUAACCUGACCCCCACACAAAUGUGACUACGUUCUGUGCGCCUUAUGUGCCAUAUUCACUGAUCGCCAGCCAGCCCUCACCCUUUGUGACGGCCCAUAUUUUUGCGUCCUAGUUGGACCUAUUUAUGCGCACAGCGCUGUAGCUGCAGCUAAUCUGCAUACGGUUGAAAAGAAUUAGAAAAACACUAGAAAGCUUUGGUCGGUCGAGCAUGCUUAUAUGCUUUAGAUUAUCGUGUUUAUCUUAUCUAGCGAUUGUGCUUUAAAUGCGUGGAAAGCUAAAGCCGACGCGCAGCCCUAGAUCAUUCGAUCUGUGCUAACGUGAAGUGCAUAGUGAAGGUCAGUUUUCUGCAAACAAAUGAGUAGAAGCAGAAAGAAUAUUGUUCUUCAGAGACUUCAGACUGUAUGUGAGCCCGAGGGCGUUUGAAUGUUUGAAAUAACAGUUACGUUAUCAGUCAGAUACACGGACGCAUGCUUUGAGUAAUGCUACGUUGUGAAAAUGGUCAAGGGUUAACACCAAGAAGAAAUAUCGGCUUUUAACAUGGUCGGGUAAAUUGGUGCUCUAAACAACCACAUUACACCUUGACAUUCGUAUACAAAAACGGCAGAUUUCUUGUAGAAGACCUUGGACAGACUGAGCUUACUUCUGCCUGAAGUAGGUUCUUUAUAUGGUUAAUUCUUUAUGAAAUACGGAGAUGUUUAUUACGAGUAG